GGGUUGUGAGGUUAAGCGACUAAGCGUACACGGUGGAUGCCCUGGCAGUCAGAGGCGAUGAAGGACGUGCUAAUCUGCGAAAAGCGUCGGUAAGGUGAUAUGAACCGUUAUAACCGGCGAUGUCCGAAUGGGGAAACCCAGUGCAAUUCGUUGCACUAUCGUUAACUGAAUACAUAGGUUAACGAGGCGAACCGGGGGAACUGAAACAUCUAAGUACCCCGAGGAAAAGAAAUCAACCGAGAUUCCCCCAGUAGCGGCGAGCGAACGGGGAGCAGCCCAGAGUCUGAAUCAGCUUGUGUGUUAGUGGAACGGUCUGGAAAGUCCGACGGUACAGGGUGAUAGUCCCGUACACCAAAAUGCACAGGUUGUGAACUCGAAGAGUAGGGCGGGACACGUGGUAUCCUGUCUGAAUAUGGGGGGACCAUCCUCCAAGGCUAAAUACUCCUGACUGACCGAUAGUGAACCAGUACCGUGAGGGAAAGGCGAAAAGAACCCCGGCGAGGGGAGUGAAAAAGAACCUGAAACCGUGUACGUACAAGCAGUGGGAGCACCUUCGGGUGUGACUGCGUACCUUUUGUAUAAUGGGUCAGCGACUUAUAUUCUGUAGCAAGGUUAACCGUAUAGGGGAGCCGCAGGGAAACCGAGUCUUAACUGGGCGUUAAGUUGCAGGGUAUAGACCCGAAACCCGGUGAUCUAGCCAUGGGCAGGUUGAAGGUUGGGUAACACUAACUGGAGGACCGAACCGACUAAUGUUGAAAAAUUAGCGGAUGACUUGUGGCUGGGGGUGAAAGGCCAAUCAAACCGGGAGAUAGCUGGUUCUCCCCGAAAGCUAUUUAGGUAGCGCCUCGUGAAUUCAUCUUCGGGGUAGAGCACUGUUUCGGCUAGGGGGUCAUCCCGACUUACCAACCCGAUGCAAACUACGAAUACCGAAGAAUGUUAUCACGGGAGACACACGGCGGGUGCUAACGUCCGUCGUGAAGAGGGAAACAACCCAGACCGCCAGCUAAGGUCCCAAAGUCAUGGUUAAGUGGGAAACGAUGUGGGAAGGCACAGACAGCCAGGAUGUUGGCUUAGAAGCAGCCAUCAUUUAAAGAAAGCGUAAUAGCUCACUGGUCGAGUCGGCCUGCGCGGAAGAUGUAACGGGGCUAAACCAUGCACCGAAGCUGCGGCAGCGACACUAUGUGUUGUUGGGUAGGGGAGCGUUCUGUAAGCCUGCGAAGGUGUGCUGUGAGGCAUGCUGGAGGUAUCAGAAGUGCGAAUGCUGACAUAAGUAACGAUAAAGCGGGUGAAAAGCCCGCUCGCCGGAAGACCAAGGGUUCCUGUCCAACGUUAAUCGGGGCAGGGUGAGUCGACCCCUAAGGCGAGGCCGAAAGGCGUAGUCGAUGGGAAACAGGUUAAUAUUCCUGUACUUGGUGUUACUGCGAAGGGGGGACGGAGAAGGCUAUGUUAGCCGGGCGACGGUUGUCCCGGUUUAAGCAUGUAGGCUGGUUGUCCAGGCAAAUCCGGAUAAUCAAGGCUGAGGUGUGAUGACGAGGCACUACGGUGCUGAAGUAACAAAUGCCCUGCUUCCAGGAAAAGCCUCUAAGCAUCAGGUAACAUCAAAUCGUACCCCAAACCGACACAGGUGGUCAGGUAGAGAAUACCAAGGCGCUUGAGAGAACUCGGGUGAAGGAACUAGGCAAAAUGGUGCCGUAACUUCGGGAGAAGGCACGCUGGUGUGUAGGUGAAGUCCCUGCGGAUGGAGCUGAGACCAGUCGAAGAUACCAGCUGGCUGCAACUGUUUAUUAAAAACACAGCACUGUGCAAACACGAAAGUGGACGUAUACGGUGUGACGCCUGCCCGGUGCCGGAAGGUUAAUUGAUGGGGUUAUCCGUAAGGAGAAGCUCUUGAUCGAAGCCCCGGUAAACGGCGGCCGUAACUAUAACGGUCCUAAGGUAGCGAAAUUCCUUGUCGGGUAAGUUCCGACCUGCACGAAUGGCGUAAUGAUGGCCAGGCUGUCUCCACCCGAGACUCAGUGAAAUUGAACUCGCUGUGAAGAUGCAGUGUACCCGCGGCAAGACGGAAAGACCCCGUGAACCUUUACUAUAGCUUGACACUGAACAUUGAGCCUUGAUGUGUAGGAUAGGUGGGAGGCUUUGAAGCGUGGACGCCAGUCUGCGUGGAGCCAACCUUGAAAUACCACCCUUUAAUGUUUGAUGUUCUAACGUUGGCCCCUGACCGGGGUUGCGGACAGUGUCUGGUGGGUAGUUUGACUGGGGCGGUCUCCUCCCAAAGCGUAACGGAGGAGCACGAAGGUUAGCUAAUCCUGGUCGGACAUCAGGAGGUUAGUGCAAUGGCAUAAGCUAGCUUGACUGCGAGCGUGACGGCGCGAGCAGGUGCGAAAGCAGGUCAUAGUGAUCCGGUGGUUCUGAAUGGAAGGGCCAUCGCUCAACGGAUAAAAGGUACUCCGGGGAUAACAGGCUGAUACCGCCCAAGAGUUCAUAUCGACGGCGGUGUUUGGCACCUCGAUGUCGGCUCAUCACAUCCUGGGGCUGAAGUAGGUCCCAAGGGUAUGGCUGUUCGCCAUUUAAAGUGGUACGCGAGCUGGGUUUAGAACGUCGUGAGACAGUUCGGUCCCUAUCUGCCGUGGGCGCUGGAGAAUUGAGGGGGGCUGCUCCUAGUACGAGAGGACCGGAGUGGACGCAUCACUGGUGUUCGGGUUGUCAUGCCAAUGGCACUGCCCGGUAGCUAAAUGCGGAAGAGAUAAGUGCUGAAAGCAUCUAAGCACGAAACUUGCCCCGAGAUGAGUUCUCCCUGAGACUUUAAGUCUCCUGAAGGAACGUUGAAGACGACGACGUUGAUAGGCCGGGUGUGUAAGCGCAGCGAUGCGUUGAGCUAACCGGUACUAAUGAACCGUGAGGCUUAACCUUACAACGCCGAAG
rnacentral:rRNA from 1 species